AACCCGCCUCCCAACUCUCUAAGCACAGCGUGCUCCAUCGGCGGCAAUGGAGGCUUCUUUUGCUCGGAUCGAGGCGCGGAGACCCAUGCUCCCCUAAUCUGGUGGGAUCCCCUCCUCCAGCAGGAUCUCCUCAUCUGGGACAGAGAGUGGAACACCACCUUCAGUUUCUCAUCUGAUCCCACUUGCUGGACUCCAUGAAUGAAGCCUGAUGAGUAUAAGAUGGCAUGAGAAAUUCAAGAGUUGAAUGAGAAGAGUGAAGAAGACUAGCAGCUCUAAGGAAUGCCUAUACGAACUCGCUAUGGCGAGGAUGACUCAAUGAAUGGACAUGUCAAUCAUGCUCAGAUCCCGGGUGGACUUCUCUCCAAUAGAGACUCCAGGUCUUUCUUAGACUGAAAGAAUUCCAGGUGUUUAUUCAGCUGAACUGAAUCCCGAGAUUUGGGCAUGUUGUUUUAAGUGGCGCUAUUAG